UUUCACCCUUCUCUUUUUUUCUAUUUUGAUGUGGGGACUGUGCUGUGGAGCUCCAUAUUGUAAGGACUUAUUUGGACAAUGAUUUGAUGCAACAGAGAAAGUUAAGAGGCACUUAGGGUGAUUCUCCGUUGUGAACCGCAUGAAAUGAGCGCUGGAACGCAUCGGCAUUAAGGAUGGAACGCAAGCGAACCCGGAAGUGCUCGCGGUGGAACGCAUAAAUGCGGAAGUAGAAGAAUAUGACGACGGCACUGUAAUGGAUCGGAUUGGGAGACACAAGAAAGGGAGCUGAUUGGUUUGUGGACGCGGGGGGCGGGUUCUAAGUACCCGUUUUUCGUGCCCAAUUUUGUUUUAAAUUGUG